GGUGGGCUGGAUUUGGCCUAUGGGCUUGUGGUUUGACCAUCCUUGGUCUGAAAUGACAUGCGGACCCCUUACUCAGCAUUUUCCAAAAGAAAUAAACAGUAAGAGGCAGGCGGAGGCUGACAUUUUCCUUCUCUGGGCAUCAUUCCAGGACCCUGAAGAUCCUCAAAUGAACUUGCCUUCAUCUCACAGGUAGAUGCACUCUUUCUGAUGAUGCUGAAAUAGAAGACGCACUUCUGAAUUCUGAAAGGUACCUAGCUAAAUCUGAUUACAUUGCAUUACACAUGUGAGACUUUUCCCUGGGGAUUGGC